CAUAAUUCAUACAUAUAGAUUCUUUAUGGUUUAAUUUUUUAGAAUAAUUAUCUGAUAGUAAUUAUCAAUUAUGGAAUAAUCGUAUAGUAUUUGAGAAUAAUCGCCUGUUAAUAAGAAACGUAACCUUCACUAACAUAAACUGUCAUAAAAGCUAUUGCAGUUAUUCAUUCCACUGGCAAAAUUAAAUAUUUCAGAAUAACAUUGAUGCAAGCUCCGAACAGAUAUGUAUUAUACCAGCAUGUGCUAAUACAAGGUAUUAUCACUCUACUUCUUCCCUAGUAUUUUUGCAUAGAAAUGCAUGGUACAGCUGGUACUAGUACAGUAGUGUUUAUCGAUCUACUUCUUAACGAAUACUUCUGUAUUCCUAGAUGACACUUUAAGGAAGAAACGUGUAACGUAAAAAGCAUAAACAGAAGAAUCUGACGCAGCGCUCAUGAAAGAUUCUUUACAGAAAAUCCUUUAUAAAGAUUUCGUAAAUAACUACAGUGGUCAUAGUUUGUUUACUCUACUCUUCUCAAGUGGAAACAAACGCGUCAUCUCAUUUGGAGAAAGAAAGAAAACUCGAAAUCUGGAGGAUUUUUCUGCUUUUACCAUCUGCUCCUUCUUCUAAAAAUAAGCUGACGUGUCGAGAGUCAUCGAUUACUUUGCCAUAAUUUAUAGAGUAACAUGAAUUUCAUUUCCUUUGACUACAAAGUAAAGAAUUCGGUGUAUAACUAGAAAAGCGCAAAUUGCAUGUUAAACUAAGAAAUCAUAAUUUUAGUUUAGUGUACUGUGAGUAUUAUGUUACGGCAGAAUGGUUAUAAAGAAAAAUUUCCCGAUAUAGGAACCCCCUAGCUCAAGCAAUCGAAAUGAAAUUUCAGAUAAUGUUACUUGAGGAUAUGCUCUUAAGAUUAUGAUGAUUUAAAACAAUAGAGCUCUCUUGGUUACAUUUACAGUGAAACAUUUUGAAACGUUUGAAUGGCAACACGCACUUUUUUACUGUGCAAACUGGUCAGAGCAUUGAAAAACCAUAAAUGGCGUUGGAAAGAUACAUGUAAUGACAAACAUUGCCGGCGUAGAACAUUUGCAAAAAAAAUUAUUGUAAAGGACAAAUGACAACAUAAGAAGCGGAGAGAUAACUUUUAUUGGAAUUGCAAGUGUUUGACAUGUACAGUGUAUCAAGUCAGAGCCACCUCUCACAACUUUGCAGCAUCUUGGCCAUUGAGAUACCCUUACUACACUCCGAUGUAUUUCUCGUUCUGGGUUUAUAUGAAAUUUAAGGCGUACACAUCACAUCCACGACAUUUGUCAGAAUUGAAACGUACCAUGCGAUGUUACAUUAGUCACUGUUGUCAACAAUCUCUAGCAUGUAAUGCGUUAUCGUCUGCAAAUUUGGGGCAAGUUGAAAACUUGCUAUUUCAUUAAAAGAUUUUUCUCCCUCUUUUUUGUGAUGUAAUUUUUUGUGAUCGCUUAUAAUGUCCUUCUUUGAAAAUAUUUUAAGCCGGCAAUUUUCGUCAUAUCUAUAUCGUUCCAACACCAUUUAUAGUUUUUCAUCGCGUAGGAAAAACGCAAUGUUACUCUAAAAUUUCGAUUUUUUGUUUACUUUCAUCUUAACCGUCAGAGCUUUAUUGUUUUAAAUCAUUACAGUCCCAAACAUGUAUAUUCAAACAACAAUAUCCGAAAUUUCAUUUCGACUGACUUGAGCAGAUUAGCUACUAGGGUUAAUAUAAAGGAGACGUUUCUUACCACAAACCUGCUUUUUUGAAUUUUCAGUGUAUCUCUGUAUACCUUCGACAUCUGAUACUUUUAAUGUAAUUCACAAUCAGAUAAUUAUCAAAAUUAUCAUCUUAACGCAAUUUGUUUCUGCAAUUAUUGCAUUAUUAUGAUAUCUAUCUUUCUAAAUUGCUUUUAUAAAUUAAGAGGGGUGAUAGUACUCAUCCAGGUGUGCAAUAAUUACCAUAGAACAUAGGGUCGCAUUCCACUCUGCGAGGCAAAAAAAGAGGAAUAUUAGAAUUACAACCUGAAAUUACAACAGUGCUGGGAGAGCGAAUGAACGAGACCAAAUUUUUCGCAAUCAGUUUAGUGAAAAACUCACAGAGAGCGCACAAAACGGAUAAAACCGAAAACUUGGCGUUCGAGUGUUAAUUCGAGCUCAGACUUUGAUGCCAAACACUCAAAUGCACAUCUUUGCUUCGCAAGGUCUCAACCUCGCAACCGAUUACAAACAACUUAUCAAGAGCUGAAUAUUAUCAACUUAAUCCAACUUCCGGUGUAUGCCGAGAUUAGCAUGAAAAGUUCAUGUUGUGUACCGGCUGUCAGAACUUCGCACCCCAUAGAAGGGUGCUUUCAAGUAGAAAUAAACGCAGUACACUAUGUCCAGGAGGACAGGACAGAUGAUGGCGAAGGGGAAAAACUGCUACCUUGAUAGCACAUUUUCUUCAUAAUGAUCGUUACCAGCCAUGGACUUCAAACUUGUGUACCCGACAUUUAAAAUCAACAAAUAAAUACAUUAAAGAUGAGUACUACAUUAAUUCUACUCAUAUAGCUUGUUAUUCUUAUGAUAUUUAUACAUCAGAAGUACAUACUGCAGAAGAAUGCAGUGAUGGACGUAAAACACUUCGUUACACAGUCAAAAUGUGUUACCAUGAACUAAAUCCUUGUAUAUUUGUCAAUAUAUUACCUAUUUAAUUUCGAUGUCUUAGAUGUUUAAUUUAGCUUUCAUUUUUAGUUGUUAUGUC
rnacentral:lncRNA from 1 species